rnacentral:rRNA from 1 species
CCUACGGGAGGCAGCAGUGGGGAAUAUUGCACAAUGGGCGAAAGCCUGAUGCAGCGACGCCGCCUGAGGGAUGACGGCCUUCGGGUUGUAAACCUCUUUCCAGUAGGGAAGAAGCGAAAGUGACGGUACCUGCAGAAGAAGCACCGGCUAACUACGUGCCAGCAGCCGCGGUAAUACGUAGGGUGCGAGCGUUAUCCGGAAUUAUUGGGCGUAAAGAGCUCGUAGGCGGUUUGUCGCGUCUGUCGUGAAAGUCCGGGGCUUAACCCCGGAUCUGCGGUGGGUACGGGCAGACUAGAGUGCAGUAGGGGAGACUGGAAUUCCUGGUGUAGCGGUGGAAUGCGCAGAUAUCAGGAGGAACACCGAUGGCGAAGGCAGGUCUCUGGGCUGUAACUGACGCUGAGGAGCGAAAGCAUGGGGAGCGAACAGGAUUAGAUACCCUGGUAGUCCAUGCCGUAAACGUUGGGCACUAGGUGUGGGGACCAUUCCACGGUUUCCGCGCCGCAGCUAACGCAUUAAGUGCCCCGCCUGGGGAGUACGGCCGCAAGGCUAAAACUCAAAGGAAUUGACGGGGGCCCGCACAAGCGGCGGAGCAUGCGGAUUAAUUCGAUGCAACGCGAAGAACCUUACCAAGGCUUGACAUGUUCUCGAUCGCCGUAGAGAUACGGUUUCCCCUUUGGGGCGGGUUCACAGGUGGUGCAUGGUUGUCGUCAGCUCGUGUCGUGAGAUGUUGGGUUAAGUCCCGCAACGAGCGCAACCCUCGUUCCAUGUUGCCAGCACGUCGUGGUGGGGACUCAUGGGAGACUGCCGGGGUCAACUCGGAGGAAGGUGAGGACGACGUCAAAUCAUCAUGCCCCUUAUGUCUUGGGCUUCACGCNUGCUACAAUGGCCGGUACAAUGGGUUGCGAUACUGUGAGGUGGAGCUAAUCCCAAAAAGCCGGUCUCAGUUCGGAUUGGGGUCUGCAACUCGACCCCAUGAAGUCGGAGUCGCUAGUAAUCGCAGAUCAGCAACGCUGCGGUGAAUACGUUCCCGGGCCUUGUACACACCGCCCGUCAAGUCACGAAAGUUGGUAACACCCGAAGCCGGUGGCCUAACCC